UAAAAGAGGAUGAGAACCUCCGAAGGAGGGUUGCGCCGAGCGCAGCGAGACAACGUUGCGAAUGCAACGGCCCGAAGGGGGCUUACGCAGUAAGCCUAAUCCUCUCUCGCCGAC
rnacentral:sRNA from 1 species